rnacentral:rRNA from 1 species
CGGCGAGUGAAGCGGCAACAGCUCAAAUUUGAAAUCUGGCGUCUUCGGCGUCCGAGUUGUAAUUUGUAGAGGGUGUCUCGGGUGGAGCACCGGUCCAAGUUCCUUGGAACAGGAUAUCAUAGAGGGUGAGAAUCCCGUAUCCGGCCGGCCCCCUCCCCCGCUGUGAGACCCCUUCGACGAGUCGAGUUGUUUGGGAAUGCAGCUCUAAAUGGGUGGUAAAUUCCAUCUAAAGCUAAAUACUGGCCAGAGACCGAUAGCGCACAAGUAGAGUGAUCGAAAGAUGAAAAGCACUUUGAAAAGAGAGUCAAACAGUACGUGAAAUUGUUGAAAGGGAAGCGUAUGCGGCCAGACUUGCCCGCGGUUGCUCACCCCGUCUUCUGGCGGGUGCACUCUUCCGCGGUCAGGCCAGCAUCGGUUUGGGCGGCGGGAUAAAGGCGCUGGGAAUGUGGCCCCUCGGGGUGUUAUAGCCCGGCGUGCAAUGUCGCC